rnacentral:rRNA from 1 species
GAACGCNGGCGGCGUGCUUAACACAUGCAAGUCGAACGAGGUCCAACCUUCGGGUGAAGACCGAGUGGCGAACGGGUGAGUAACACGUGGGGAACCUGCCCUUCUCUCUGGGAUAACUCCGGGAAACCGGAGCUAAUACCGGAUACUCCUUGCGGACCGCAUGGUCUGCUCGGGAAAGCUCCGGCGGAGAAGGAUGGCCCCGCGGCCCAUUAGCUUGUUGGUGGGGUAACGGCCCACCAAGGCGACGAUGGGUAGCCGAGCUGAGAGGCUGAUCGGCCACACUGGGACUGAGACACGGCCCAGACUCCUACGGGAGGCAGCAGUGGGGAAUCUUGCGCAAUGGGCGAAAGCCUGACGCAGCAACGCCGCGUGCGGGAUGAAGGCUCUCGGGUCGUAAACCGCUUUCAGCAGGGAUGAAAAUGACAGUACCUGCAGAAGAAGCCCCGGCUAAAUACGUGCCAGCAGCCGCGGUAAUACGUAUGGGGCAAGCGUUAUCCGGAUUCAUUGGGCGUAAAGCGCGCGUAGGCGGCUUGUUAAGUCAGGCGUGAAAUCCGGGGGCUCAACCCGCGGCUUGCGUCUGAAACUGGCAGGCUUGAGUCUGGUAGAGGAAAGUGGAAUUCCUGGUGUAGCGGUGAAAUGCGCAGAUAUCAGGAGGAACACCAGUGGCGAAGGCGGCUUUCUGGGCCACGACUGACGCUGAGGCGCGAAAGCUAGGGGAGCGAACAGGAUUAGAUACCCUGGUAGUCCUAGCCGUAAACGAUGGGCACUAGGUGUGGGGGGUCAUCGACUCCCUCCGUGCCGAAGCUAACGCAUUAAGUGCCCCGCCUGGGGAGUACGGCCGCAAGGCUAAAACUCNAG